rnacentral:rRNA from 1 species
GAACGCUGGCGGCAGGCUUAACACAUGCAAGUCGAGCGGAAACGAAGGUAGCUUGCUACCAGACGUCGAGCGGCGGACGGGUGAGUAAUGCUUAGGAAUCUACCGAGUAGUGGGGGAUAGCCAUUGGAAACGAUGAUUAAUACCGCAUAUAUCCUACGGGGGAAAGCAGGGGACCUUCGGGCCUUGUGCUAUUCGAUGAGCCUGAGUGAGAUUAGCUAGUUGGUGGGGUAAAGGCCUACCAAGGCGACGAUCUCUAGCUGGUCUGAGAGGAUGAUCAGCCACACUGGGACUGAGACACAGCCCAGACUCCUACGGGAGGCAGCAGUGGGGAAUAUUGCACAAUGGACGAAAGUCUGAUGCAGCCAUGCUGCGUGUGUGAAGAAGGCCUUCGGGUUGUAAAGCACUUUCAGCGAGGAGGAAAGGUCAGUAAGUAAUAUUUGCUGGCUGUGACGUUACUCGCAGAAGAAGCACCGGCUAAUUUAGUGCCAGCAGCCGCGGUAAUACUAAAGGUGCAAGCGUUAAUCGGAAUUACUGGGCGUAAAGCGCGCGUAGGUGGUUUGUUAAGUUGGAUGUGAAAGCCCAGGGCUCAACCUUGGAACUGCAUUCAAAACUGACUCACUAGAGUACGAGAGAGGUUAGUGGAAUUUCCUGUGUAGCGGUGAAAUGCGUAGAGAUGGGAAGGAACACCAGUGGCGAAGCGACUGACUGGCUCGAUACUGACACUGAGGUGCGAAAGCGUGGGGAGCAAACGG